UACGAAGGAUGCAAGCGUUAUCCGGAUUCACUGGGUUUAAAGGGUGUGCAGGUGGGGUAAUAAGUCAGUGGUGAAAGCCCCCGACUCAAUCGGGGAACUGCCAUAGAUACUGUUAUUCUUGAGUGUAGUUGAGGCGGAUGGAAUUUGACAUGUAGCGGUGAAAUGCUUAGAUAUGUGGUGGAACACCGAUCGCGAAGGCAGUCCGCCGGACUAUUACUGACACUGAGGCACGAAAGUGCGGGGAUCAAACAGG
rnacentral:rRNA from 1 species